rnacentral:rRNA from 1 species
AGACUUUGAUUAUGGCUCAGGAUGAACGCUAGCUACAGGCUUAACACAUGCAAGUCGAGGGGCAGCAUCAUCAAAGCUUGCUUUGAUGGAUGGCGACCGGCGCACGGGUGAGUAACACGUAUCCAACCUGCCGACAACACUGGGAUAGCCUUUCGAAAGAAAGAUUAAUACCGGAUGAUAUAGUUUUCCCGCAUGGGAUGAUUAUUAAAGAAUUUCGGUUGUCGAUGGGGAUGCGUUCCAUUAGGCAGUUGGCGGGGUAACGGCCCACCAAACCUACGAUGGAUAGGGGUUCUGAGAGGAAGGUCCCCCACAUUGGAACUGAGACACGGUCCAAACUCCUACGGGAGGCAGCAGUGAGGAAUAUUGGUCAAUGGACGAGAGUCUGAACCAGCCAAGUAGCGUGAAGGAUGACUGCCCUAUGGGUUGUAAACUUCUUUUAUACGGGAAUAAAGUGAGCCACGUGUGGUUUUUUGUACGUACCGUAUGAAUAAGGAUCGGCUAACUCCGUGCCAGCAGUCGCGGUAAUACGGAGGAUCCGAGCGUUAUCCGGAUUUAUUGGGUUUAAAGGGAGCGUAGGCGGGUUGUUAAGUCAGUUGUGAAAGUUUGCGGCUCAACCGUAAAAUUGCAGUUGAUACUGGCGACCUUGAGUGCAACAGA